UGCGCUGGCCCCGGCGCUCUCCCGAGGCAGGGGCGGGCCCGCGUCCCCGGCUCGCUGCCGGCUUUUCCUUCCCGUCCUUCCUUCCCGUCCUUCCCAGCUCCGUGACGAGGCGGUUACUCAGCGCCUGAACUUCCGCGCUGCUGAGCAUCGCCACGGCCAUUUUGGGCUCCUCCGCUUCCCAGAGGAGGAGGAGGAGGAGGCGGAGCUGGGGAGGGGGGGGAGGAGGGUACCCAAACCCCUUUUAACCCCUCUGCUGCCGGAGCCUUUCCAUCCGCUCCACACACACCCCAUUCCCCCUUGAGCGGAGAUGUUGCUCCGUGCGCCCCCAACCCUGGUGCUCGCCCCCUUCCCCAGACCCCGGCACGGGCGAUUUGUACGCGAUGGACGACUCGCAGCUGGUGAGCGACAAAUCCCCCUUGGAGGAGCCCCCCGACCUGGCCGCCAGCCCCCCACUCCACGCCGGCCCCUUCAGCCUGCUGCCCGCCAGCCCCUCGCCCGCCCCGCUGCUCCAGGCCCCCGGCUCGCCGCCAGCCCUGCCCGGUACGUGCUGCCCCCCACACCGGGAUCACCCCACGAGAGAUCACCAGGGGUCACCCCACCGGCCCCAUUCCCCACGAGGGAUGCCUCGUGAGCCCCACGGGGAUGGGGGUCUCGUUCCCUACCAGGGAUGCCUCGUGAGCCCCACGGGGGUCACCCCAACAGUCUCGUUCCCCACGAGGGAUGCACUGUGAGCCCCACGUGGAUGGGGGUCUCGUUCUCCGUGGCGGCUGCAUCAUGAGCCCCACGAGGAUCACCCCACCGGCCCCGUUCCCCACCGUGUGCCCCACGGGGGUCACCCCACCGGCCCCGUUCCCCACGAGGGAUGCACCGUGAGCCCCAUGGAGAUGGGGAUUUCGUUCCCCACCGUGAGCCCCACGGAGAUGGGGGUCUCGUUCCCCACCAGGGAUGCACCGUGAGGGUCUCGGCGGCACCGGCGAGGCCCCCGGGCAGCGCAGGGAGGGAGGGGACCCGCGGCCCCGGUGACGUGUCCGGUGACGUUCCUGACCUUGGCUCCUCAGGCGACAACGGCGAGCUGAAGAGCGGCGACCACGCGGGGCUGCGGGACUCGGGGUCCCUGGAGCUCGACCCUCCGCUGGAGCCGGACUCGCCGGCCCCGUCUGCUGAGGAGGAGGAGGAGGAGGAGGAAGAAGAAGAGGAGGAGGAGGCUGCCGACAGCUGCCCGGAGACUUCGGCCGCGCCAGGAGAGGGGGAGAGCGAGGAGCCGGCCCUGCUGAGCGCCUCGGGGGCAGGUGAUGUCCCUCGGCGGCGCAUCGCCACGCAGGAGGAGGUGCGCUUCCCGCUGCAGCACGGGUACGUGGGGUGGCCCCCGAGCCUGUUCCCUUUCCCCUGUCCCGUUCCUGUCCCCCUCUGGCCGUUCUGCCCCCGACCCUUUUCCCUUUCCAUCCUCUUCUUCCUGUCCCCCUCCCGCCGUCCUGCCCCACUGCUCUGUCCCCGGCACUGUCCUCUCCUCAUCCUGCCUCAAAAACUACCAAAACUACCGUCCCCUUCCCACCAUCCUGCUCCUGAAAUUAUCCCCAUCGCGUCCCCAUCCUGUCCCCUCGUGUCCCCAUCCCCUCCCCAUCCUGCUCCUGUCCCCACCCCUUUCCCAUCCUCCCCCUCUCUCCAUCCCUUUCCCAUCCUGUCCCCAUCCCCGACCCCUCCCACUGCUCUGUCCCCUCGGUCCUGUCCCCUCCCCAUCCUGCCUCAAAAACUACCAAAACUACAUCCCCUUCUCACCAUCCUGCUCCUGAAACCAUCCCCAUCCUGUCCCCUUUGUG
rnacentral:lncRNA from 1 species